GGAGCAGACCCACCGUGGAUUUCAGGCGGGGGUCACUGGGCCCCCUGCUCCUUGCCAUUCAUGGAACGGUGACUCAGCAGGUGGGGCGAGGUGAGGACACCCCUCAAAUUAGUGUAGGCACUCAAGGUGGGACCAUCCUGCUGAGGGUGACGCAGUCUCUGAAAAGAUCCUAACAAGGUGGAAAGACUGACUCUGCCAAGAUUUUUUUUUUUUUUUUUUUUUGAGACGGAGUUUCACUCUUGUUGCCCAGGCUCGAGUGCGAUGGUGCAAUCUUGGCUCACUGCAACCUCCGCCUCCCAGGUUCAAGCGAUGCUUCUGCCUCAGCCUUCCAAGUACCUGCGGUUACAGGCACAUGCCACCAUGCCCGGCUAAUGUUUGUAUUUUAGUAGAGACAGGGUUUUGCCGUGUUGGUCAGGCUGAUCUCAAAUUCCCGACCUCAGGUGAUCUGCCCACCUCGGCCUCCCAAAGUGCUGGGAUUACAGGCGUGAACCACUGCGCUCAGCCUGGCGAGAUUUCAUUUUAUUGAUAAAUGUAAGUUUUUGCACUGAACUAACCCCAGACUUCACUAACGUGGGUAGGAAGACAUGGCUCCUAGGUGUAGACGCAACCCCCAGGGCUCUUGGACGGAGAUCACGUGGAAUCCAGAGUCCAGUGACUUUGGCAGUAACUGAAAUGGGAUAUUUAAUAUUCACGCAUUUAUUUCACAAAUGAUCCCAGUGUGCCUGUGUGUGCCUGGGCCCCGGCAGCGGCCAGCCUUGCCCUGGAACACAAAUGACUCACAGAGAGGGACGGGUCACGCGGAGAAUAAGCCAGGAGCUGAUGCGGGAGGAGACGGGUCAGAGGUGCUUUCCCUGGCAGGAAGAGCCAGGCCCCCCAGAACUCCUAGAGCGCCCUGAGAUCUUCGGGUUCUGAUGGUGGCAGUUCACAAAAGAACCAACAGAAACGGAGACAUCACCUUCACACGGGAGAAGUGCGCUGAGCACUUCCUCUGAGCCAAGGAUGAAGGUCCAAGCACUCACACCCUCGCCAUCCCCCGACGGGCAGGGUUUGCUGCCACAGCCUCAGUGACCCACUCAGGAACUGAUGGAAGCGGUCAGCUGUGCCGGCCACACCUACACCCCAGAACCCCCCAGUACCGCCUGCGAGAGGAGACGUUUUCUACAGUGGCCUGGGUCCCAUUCUUUCUGAAGUCUCUCCCUCUCCAGCUCUGGACUGCAUCGUCGCCCACAGAGGGGAUGCUUCUUAUCCGGUGGGAGGCGAGGAGGUCCAAGGGUCCUUCGUCAGGAGCCUGUGGCCAGCUUUCCACGCAUCUGUGAUGCCCGGCCUCAGCCCCUGUGUCCAGCGUGAGGGCUGGUGGCUGUGGAGACGGAUCGCACGCUGGGUUUAGAGGCGCCAGCCGCUGGCAGCGCCGGUGCCACAAGCCCUCCUGAGAUAUUGUUGGAAGAGAGCCUUGGUGUGCCUGCCUGGCACAGAGAAGCCUCCUGAGAAAUGUCAGAUGAGUCAUGAGUCUCAGAGGGGGCGGGCAGCCAGGGAGGAAGCAAGGAGCGAAACCAGGAGGGAGCCCGCAGGAAGCUGGGGGCCGGGCAGGCACCGGGGUCAGUGCAGCGAGGGUCAGGGGUUGCUGGGUGCGGGCAGUGGGUGCAGAUGCCGCCGGCACAGACGCCCUGUGAGUGCCUGGGCCCAACCCAGGCCUCCACAUCCAGGUCUAAAGGGGUGGCCCUGGCCUCGGUUCCCCUCUGGCCUCAGGUAAUCAUUCUCCGUCAGAUCAGAGGCCCUUCUGGUCACCUGGUGGACGGCCUGGGUCUCUAAUGCCACAAGGUGGAUCUGUUCUUAGCCCUCGACACCUGUGCGUUCGGCUGAGCCCUGACCCUGGCAGCCCGGCGGGAGGCCCUGCAUGGCCAGACGAGGUCCCUGAAGUCCACCAGGCAAGGCCAGCCCAAGACGGGAGGCAGGAGCAGAAGGUGCUUCCGUCAAGCUCUCACCACA
rnacentral:lncRNA from 1 species